rnacentral:rRNA from 1 species
UACGGAGGAUGCGAGCGUUAUCCGGAUUUAUUGGGUUUAAAGGGUGCGUAGGCGGCGAGUUAAGUCAGCGGUAAAAGCCCGGGGCUCAACCCCGGCCCGCCGUUGAAACCGGAGCGCUAGAAUUCCGAUGCCGUCGGAGGAAUGUGUGGUGUAGCGGUGAAAUGCAUAGAUAUCACACAGAACACCGAUUGCGAAGGCAUCUCACGAAUCCGCGAUUGACGCUGAUGCACGAAAGCGUGGGUAUCAAACAGG